rnacentral:lncRNA from 1 species
GCUAGCUCUGAUUUCUUCAUAUUCUAGAUGCCCAAAUGCUGGUGUGAUUGGAACUGGGUGUGGGGAGCUGGUCUAGAACCCACGACUUCAAUUCUUGUCCAGGCUGAGAAGGCCGUGUCCUGGGCCUGGCGCUCAUGGCAUGUUAACGGCGGUGGGGUGCCCCUGUGGUUGUGGGCGCCACCCAGGCCAGCUGCCCGCUGGCGAAAUGGGCUUGGUCUCUUCCUGCUCCGCACACUUUGACAUCAGCUCGUUGUGGCUCCCUGUCUCUGCUCUCCCGGGUGGCCAGUGACGCUGUGCGGGGUGCAGCGCCUGUGCUGUCUGCUUCUGAAGAAAAUCUCGACAAUUAGAAAGUCUUCAGUGGAGCUGGGAAACUGAAAACUUUCCAGGGGAAGCAGAAACCCAGGUUCUGUUACUUUGCUUCUGGAGACUUGAGCUUUGAUUUUGUUGUACUCAUAUCCUUUUCAAAAGGUGGUUUUAUAAUCAGCUACAGGACUCUGACAGGUGCUCUCGAAGGCAGGUGUUUAAUAACUUUGGAGACUGUGACACUAGAAUAGAGGAAAAACUUCCAAGACUCUCAUAGACAGAUAUAAAGAAACUGCUUUAAGGGAUCAGAGUUGACUUAGAAAGCCAAUAAAAGCCCCUUUGGAAAGCUGGCCUCCUACCUUGUCUACCCAGUUCUUGUACAGGUUUCUGACCUGUGCUGUGCCUUCUUAAAGGCUGGAGCCUGGAGCACAUGAGGAGAAUUCACAGAAGUGCCUGGAAAGGGAACUGCGGUGGAUCUUACAGAGACUUGAAACAUGUGGAGAAGUUUGGCUUUUAUUCAUAAAGGACAAAGUGCUGCCUCCACCUCCCCACCUGUCUAGUUUUAUUCAGUGAUGUCUAUCCUCAUGACUUGGGCCAUUUUCAUCAUCACGUCUAUUUGGUUACCUAGGUCUGCCGUUUUUUGUUUUUGUUUUUUCCCAAAUGCUUUCCACAUAAGAUGGCCUAGGUGUCAAUUGCUUAUCUCAGUGGAAUCAUUUCUACUCACCUAUAAAAUGGGAGUAAUAAAAAUGCUAUGUAUCCGAUUGUUGUGAGGAUGAAAUGGGAAUACUUGGACAUGGGGCCUGGUUGCUGGUGGAGGCAUCUGCUCUGUUCCCUGCUGCAUCCCUCACUUCCUGCCAUCCUCUUGCCCCACUUCUGCAGUGCUGAGUGACAGGCCCACAGCCUCCAUGCCCUCCUGUUCCUUCCUUCUCUGCUGAUCUUUUCUGUUUCCAGACACAUCUGCCACUACUGUCUGGUCCAAACACUCUUUCACCUAGGAAGUUUAAGCACGUUGUUGAACUAGAAAUAAUGUAUUCACUCAGUUACUUAUACACACAUUCUUUUCCCACUCAUUAAAAGUGGUUUGAAAAAUUUAUUUCAUUGUUCUUAAAGUGCUGAAUCAAGUGUUUUUCCUUUGGUUGGGAAAGGCCUUUGCCGUUUACCUUCAUCCACUCAUUCAUUUGUGAAGAUGUGUGUGCAGGCCCUAUGGUGACAGUGUCUGUCUAAAGUGAAGAGCUCAGCACCCAAACUCUAGAACAUCUGAAAACGUAGCUAGAUCCUGUGUUCUCUUCUCUAACAGAGUUAAAGUUAAGGUGCAUUUACUCAGUGCCUAGGGGGUAAAAAUGUGCGGUUCAGACUUCAACCAUGUGGGUGCUGUUUUUACCCAGAAUACCAACUGAUUCCAGGAAAGAGUAUUAGGAGAUUCAAGAUUUCUAUUUCUUUUGAACAUAUGUUAUUAGAGUUAAUUGUUAGGAAACUAUUUUAAAGAUAAUUAUUUGAAUACUGAAAAUGACUUUGAUUUCUAACAGGAAGCCAGGCUCACUUGUUACUUCCACAUAUGUGAUGAAGGCAAAAGACCACAGUUGCAUACAUUUGCAUAGUUAUCCUCGAGACUGGAAAUGUCAGUAAGAUGCAAUUGAUUGACUUGCUGAUUGUCUUUCCUCAUGUGAGCGUCUUUUCCAUGUUCAUGACCCACCACUGAUAUUCUGUGGAACUGAACUAAAACUAUGGUCCCCGAAGCCUUGUUGGGGGUGUGGAGGAAGGCGAGAGAGUGGAGGGGAGGGGACGGACACAGUAUUCCUGUCAGGGUGCAGCUGCAGCUCUGCUCCAAGGCACACUUUUCCUCUGGAUUCCACAGAAUUUCUCCCAGGGUCAUCCUUCUCCAGUAGCAGCCCCUCCACCUGGAGCAUCACUGGUGGGCAGUUGUGGCGUCAGGCACUGUCUCUGCCCUCAUCUGCUCUGGCUGGGGCAGCAGGAUUGAUUUCAUUCAAAAGACAACUGGUUUUCAUGGCAGGGGCUAUAGUGAGCAGAGCAGAGAACAGGCACUUGGGCGUCCUACUGGCUUUCUUCUUGCCUGAGGCUAGUCCUCCUUGAGCCAAUCCUAUGUCUCCUAGAGCACUUAGUUGUCCCUCUGUACUUUCAACCUCUGGCUCCCGCCCUAUAGUCAUAAAUGUGCUAGAGGCUUAAAACAAAUGCCUCACCACCACCUUUUAUCUCGCCUACCAACAAGUACCCCCCAAAAUUAGGGUUAGCUGAGCAUGGUGUCUCAUGCCUGUAAAUCCCAGCACUUUGGGAGGCCGAGGCAGGAGGAUCACCUGAGCUCAGGAGUUCCAGACCAGCCAGGGCAACAAAGUGAGACCCUGUCUCUAGAAAAAAAAAAAAAAAUUUAGCCAAGCAUGGUGGCACACAGCUGUAGUCCCAGCUACUUAGGAGGCUGGAGGACCACUUGAGCCUGGGAGGUCGAGGCUAUAGUGAGCUGUGAUUGUGCCACUUCACUCCAGCCUGGGCAACAGAGUGAGACCCUGUCUCAUAAAAAAGAAAAUUAAGGUCAUAUUUGCUGUUUACUUCUCUAUCUUCCAUUCAUUUCUUUUUGGUGACAGCUUAAUUGAGAUAGAAUCCAACAUAUCAUACAAUUCACCCAUUGAAGUGUAUAAUUCAAUAGUUCUUAAUAUAUUCACAGAUUGCCAUCAACCCCAAAGGAAACCCUGUGGCCAUUAGCAGUCACUCCCAUUCCCUCCUCUGCUCAGCUGUAGGUAACCACUAAUCAACUUUUUGUCUAUUC